rnacentral:rRNA from 1 species
UACGAGGGGGGCAAGCGUUGGUUCGGAAUUAUUGGGCGUAAAGGGCGCGGUAGGCGGUGCGGUAAGUCGACCUUGUGAAAACUCUGGGCUCAAACUCCGAGAGCCUGCAGGCGAAACUGCCGUGCUGGAAGUGUGGGAGAGGUGCGUGGAAUUCCCGGGUGUAGCGGUGAAAUGCGUAGAUAUCGGGAGGAACACCUGUGGCGAAAGCGGCGCACUGGACCACAACUGACGCUGAGGCGCGAAAGCUAGGGGAGCAAACAGG